UCAGACAGUGUGUGCUCUCCAGGGAUCAGCUGCCAGAGGAUCCCUGCACAGCACCAGGGUGGGCAUCUUCAGUCUUCUUACCACACCAGUACACUAAAAAUCAUGCACUAGGAGGGAAGGGCUGCUCUUAUUCCCUUUUUACAAGCAGAGAAAGAUGAUAAUAAUUUGCAGAAGUGCUCAUAACUAUUAUUAUUUAUUAUUUUCACUGUGAUAGCAUCUAUGAACAGUCUGUGGCAGAGCUGGAAACAGAAUCUAGCUCUUGUGAGCUUACCAGUCAAGUGCCAAAACCACAAGUCCUUCCUUCCUCCCACACUGCAUGUAUUUGUAAAGAAUUAUGCUUUAAAAAAAAAAAUAUUAACUGCUACAGCAGUGUUAACUCUCGUACUCCCCCUCCCCUGAAAUAUUCUGGUAUUUGGUCUAGGAAAUUAGAUUUUAAGGGGAUUUUCUUUGUAUUUUUUUCCCUGUAGAUCAAUUUAAUGUUUUCUCCUUUGAAAAGCCCACAAAUGGAGGAAAACAAUUACCACAACACACAUGCACAUUCCUAGCAGUUACUCAUAUGCUCAUAUUCACACAUUCAUGUGCACAUAGUCACAAAAUUCAACCUGUAGAAAACAUUGAUUUCCAGGGUACUCUCAGCUGGUGACUGAUCAAAUGCUAAAAGCAUUUAACCUCUCUCACACUCUACAAAACAAGUAAGAGGAAGUGAGAAAAAAAAAAAAAGAAACUAGCAAAGUUUUAAACAAUGGAGUCAAACAAAAAGGUCUGUGUAAGGUUUUUUAACCACGAGCACAACAAAAUAUUCUCAUAGACAAGUCUAAUCUUCCAAGAGAAAUUUUAACCACUACAGCCUGAAUUGUUAAUUGGUUCCUUGAAUUUCUGUUCAUGAGAACUGAACUACAGGUUAGUACCAG